rnacentral:ncRNA from 1 species
UUAUCAAGAGUGAUUGAGGGACGGGCCCUAUGAAAUCCAGCAACCAUACGAUGGUGCUAAUUCCCGCGGUGUGUAGCCGGCAGAUAA